CAAACACUUAACUUUUGUAGCUUUCCCAAAUGUUAUCGGAGCUCUGGACUGCACCCACGUGCGCAUAAAGCGCCCGUCUGGUCCGCAUGAAGCAGACUUCGUUAAUAGGAAAUCAUUACACAGCAUCAAUGUACAGAUGAUUUGUGAUGCAGAUUGCAUCAUCACAAAUGUAGAGGCAAAAUGGCCUGGCUCAGUGCAUGAUUCCAGAAUCUUUCGGGCCUCUUCUCUUUCCCACCAACUGGCACAAGGUCAAUUCUCAGGAGUUUUGCUGGGAGAC